AAAAAAAAAUUUUAAUUGAUUUGGAAUUUUUGCGAUUGUAGUUAACCUGUAUCUAUAGAAGAAAAAUCUUUCUGCAAGAAUUCUGUAAUGUUCUGCAACAAGAUCGACAUGUCUCUGCAAUUCUGCCACUGGGAAAUUGGUCGUUGUUAGAGGUACCACCAUAGUUCUUCUGUACCUGCUUUUAGGUAAACUUGUUUACCUUCACUAGCUGCUGCUCCUGUUUCAAAUCCAAGCCUGUUGAGUGGAAUGUUGCAAAUUUCUGAUUUAUCACAAUCAUUUGUUAUCAGAGUAUUCCCCCCGAACUCCGUGUGUGUUAGGUGCACUAUCAAUGAAGAGACAAUGAUCUAUUUAAAUCAAGGAUGUAACAAGUACUACUAUACUGAAUGAAUUAUGUAAUUAUGAAUUAUGAAUUACUGUAAUGAAUUAUUGGAAAUUUAGUAUCCUGCUGCCAAAGUUCUAUUGAGCUAGCUGAGCUACAAGAUCUAGAAGUUACUAGUGGAACUACAUCUGUUCCUAGCUAGACAAGGUCCAUGAGUUUGUUCACCUUCAAAAAGUUUAAAACAAGUAAGGGUCUUUCAAUAAGGUCUUGUUUUAAAAGACCGAGGCAGUCCAGUAGAUGUUCAGGGGACGCCUGGGCCAAAGAGCACUUGGUACAGAGGGCAAAGCACUUUUCUCCUCCACAGUACCUUAGUGAUUUCAGGUGUCCACAGCGGAGACGUGUGAUUGCGGUUUGAAAAUGACGGUCUUUGUCAGCUGUCAAACAGCUAACCGGUCUGGUACCAAUUGUGACUGGGUGGAGUGAGGCAUGCUGAUUUAUUUUUGUCUUUAGCAAUGGAGAAGAGCUCUGAGGAGAUAAGAGACACUAGAGGCGCAGUGGCCUCAGCUGCACCUGCCUUGGCAAGACUAUCUACCAUUUCAUUGCCUGGUAUAUCUACGUGUGAUUACCUAUGUGUGAUGACCUACAUAUCCAUUGUACGUGAAUUCCAUUGUAUCCAUUGUACGUGAAGUGCUGAACAGCGCUUCUACUGUCGGUAAGGAUCCAAAUCUCUUUUGGAAUUGAAAGAGACAGUAUUGAGGCAAGUCCAUCAUCAAUGGCGAUAAGCUCGCUCCUAAAAACAGAAGAGUGGUCGGAAUUCCUUUUCUGUCGUAUUGUCAUCUAAAAUCUUAGAUAAUAAUAAUAAAAAAACAAAGCUCUUAGUAAAUUUUAAUUCUGUCACAUAUUCAUGUAUCUUAAAUGUUUUAAAAUUUAUGUUUAUA
rnacentral:lncRNA from 1 species